rnacentral:rRNA from 1 species
UACAGAGGCCUCAAGCGUUGUUCGGAAUUACUGGGCGUAAAGGGAGUGUAGGUGGUGAUGAAAGUCAGAUGUGAAAUCCCUGGGCUUAACCCGGGAACUGCAUUUGAUACUGCAUCGCUAGAGUGCGAUAGAGGAAAGCGGAAUUCCUGGUGUAGGAGUGAAAUCCGUAGAUAUCAGGAGGAAUACCGAUGGCGAAGGCGGCUUUCUGGCUCGCAACUGACACUGAGGCUCGAAAGCGUGGGUAGCAAACAGG